rnacentral:rRNA from 1 species
CACGCAGGCGGUCGUGUAAGUUUGGGGUUACAGCUCCCGGCUCAACUGGGAGAGCGCCUUGAAGACUGCGGGACUUGAGGGCCAGAGAGGGACACAGAAUUCCGGGUGUAGUGGUGAAAUGCGUAGAUAUCCGGAGGAAUACCAAAGGCGAAGGCAGUGUCCUGGCUGGUGACUGACGCUGAGGUGCGAAAGCUAGGGGAGCGAACGGGAUUAGAUACCCCGGUAGUCCUAGCUGUAAACGAUGACCACUAGGUGUGGGAGGUAUCGACCCCUUCCGUGCCGCAGCUAACGUGAUAAGUGGUCCGCCUGGGGAGUACGGUCGCAAGAUUAAA